rnacentral:tRNA from 1 species
GCAUUGGUGGUUCAGUGAUAGAAUUCUCACUUUCCAUGCAGGAUACCAAGGUUCCAUUCCCAGCCAAUGCA